rnacentral:rRNA from 1 species
CUGCGAAUGGCUCAUUAAAUCAGUUAUCGUUUAUUUGAUAGUACCUUACUACUUGGAUAACCGUGGUAAUUCUAGAGCUAAUACAUGCUAAAAACCCCGACUUCGGGAGGGGUGUAUUUAUUAGAUAAAAAACCAACGCCCUUCGGGGCUCCUUGGUGAAUCAUAAUAACUUAACGGAUCGCAUGGCCUUGCGCCGGCGACGGUUCAUUCAAAUUUCUGCCCUAUCAACUUUCGAUUGUAGGGUAUUGGCCUACAAUGGUAUCAACGGGUAACGGGGAAUUAGGGUUCGAUUCCGGAGAGGGAGCCUGAGAAACGGCUACCACAUCCAAGGAAGGCAGCAGGCGCGCAAAUUACCCAAUCCCGACACGGGGAGGUAGUGACAAUAAAUACUGAUACAGGGCUCUUUUGGGUCUUGUAAUUGGAAUGAGUACAAUUUAAAUCCCUUAACGAGGAACAAUUGGAGGGCAAGUCUGGUGCCAGCAGCCGCGGUAAUUCCAGCUCCAAUAGCGUAUAUUAAAGUUGUUGCAGUUAAAAAGCUCGUAGUUGAACCUUGGGCCUGGCUGGCCGGUCCGCCUCACCGCGUGCACUGGUCCGGCCGGGCCUUUCCUUCUGGAGAGCCGCAUGCCCUUCACUGGGCGUGUCGGGGAACCAGGACUUUUACUUUGAAAAAAUUAGAGUGUUCAAAGCAGGCCUUUGCUCGAAUACAUUAGCAUGGAAUAAUAGAAUAGGACGUGCGGUCCUAUUUUGUUGGUUUCUAGGACCGCCGUAAUGAUUAAUAGGGAUAGUCGGGGGCAUCAGUAUUCAAUUGUCAGAGGUGAAAUUCUUGGAUUUAUUGAAGACUAACUACUGCGAAAGCAUUUGCCAAGGAUGUUUUCAUUAAUCAGUGAACGAAAGUUAGGGGAUCGAAGACGAUCAGAUACCGUCGUAGUCUUAACCGUAAACUAUGCCGACUAGGGAUCGGGCGAUGUUAUUA